GCCCGGUUAGCUCAGUCGGUAGUGCACCAGACUCUUAAUCUGGCUGUCGCGGGUUCGAGCCCCGCUUCGCGCU
rfam:Angiostrongylus costaricensis strain Costa Rica genome assembly, scaffold: ACOC_scaffold0002569